rnacentral:rRNA from 1 species
CCUGGCGGCGAGCGGCGAACGGGUGAGUAAUGCAUCGGAACGUACCCAUUUGUGGGGGAUAACUAUCCGAAAGGAUAGCUAAUACCGCAUAAGUCCUGAGGGAGAAAGCAGGGGAUCGCAAGACCUUGCGCGAAUGGAGCGGCCGAUGCCGGAUUAGCUAGUUGGUAGGGUAAAGGCCUACCAAGGCGACGAUCCGUAGCGGGUCUGAGAGGAUGAUCCGCCACACUGGAACUGAGACACGGUCCAGACUCCUACGGGAGGCAGCAGUGGGGAAUUUUGGACAAUGGGCGCAAGCCUGAUCCAGCCAUUCCGCGUGAGUGAAGAAGGCCUUCGGGUUGUAAAGCUCUUUCGGCAGGAACGAAACGGUGGGGGCUAAUACCCCCUGCUAAUGACGGUACCUGAAGAAGAAGCACCGGCUAACUACGUGCCAGCAGCCGCGGUAAUACGUAGGGUGCGAGCGUUAAUCGGAAUUACUGGGCGUAAAGCGUGCGCAGGCGGUUAUGUAAGACAGAUGUGAAAUCCCCGGGCUUAACCUGGGAACUGCGUUUGUGACUGCAUAACUCGAGUGUGGCAGAGGGGGGUGGAAUUCCACGUGUAGCAGUGAAAUGCGUAGAGAUGUGGAGGAACACCGAUGGCGAAGGCAGCCCCCUGGGUCAACACUGACGCUCAUGCACGAAAGCGUGGGUAGCAAACAGGAUUAGAUACCCUGGUAGUCCACGCCCUAAACGAUGCGAACUAGGUGUUGGAGAAGGAGACUUCUUUAGUACCGCAGCUAACGCGUGAAGUUCGCCGCCUGGGGAGUACGGUCGCAAGAUUAAAACUCAAAGGAAUUGACGGGGACCCGCACAAGCGGUGGAUGAUGUGGAUUAAUUCGAUGCAACGCGAAAAACCUUACCUACCCUUGACAUGCCAGGAACUUGGUAGAGAUACCUUGGUGCCCGAAAGGGAGCCUGGACACAGGUGCUGCAUGACUGUCGUCAGCUCGUGUCGUGAGAUGUUGGGUUAAGUCCCGCAACGAGCGCAACCCUUGUCAUUAGUUGCCAUCAUUUAGUUGGGCACUCUAAUGAGACUGCCGGUGACAAACCGGAGGAAGGUGGGGAUGACGUCAAGUCCUCAUGGCCCUUAUGGGUAGGGCUUCACACGUCAUACAAUGGUCGGUACAGAGGGUUGCCAAGCCGCGAGGUGGAGCCAAUCCCAGAAAGCCGAUCGUAGUCCGGAUCGGAGUCUGCAACUCGACUCCGUGGAGUCGGAAUCG